CACGCUGUAAACGAUGAUCACUAGAUAUGGGUUGCGCAUAGCGCGAUCUGUGUCGAAGCUAACGCGAUAAGUGAUCCGCCUGGGGAGUACGGUCGCAAGAUUAAAACUCAAAGAAAUUGACGGGGGUCCGCACAAGCGGUGGAACAUGUGGUUUAAUUCGACACUACGCGAGGAACCUUACCUGGGUUUGACAUGUAAACGCUACUGGUGGAAACACUGGGUUUCGUAGCAAUACGAACGGUUACACAGGUGC
rnacentral:rRNA from 1 species